rnacentral:rRNA from 1 species
GAUGAACGCUAGCUACAGGCUUAACACAUGCAAGUCGAGGGACCGGCGCACGGGUGAGUAACACGUAUCCAACCUGCCCUUUACUCGGGGAUAGCCUUUCGAAAGAAAGAUUAAUACCCGAUGUAAAGGAUGGGGAUGCGUUCCAUUAGGUUGUUGGUAAGGUAACGGCUCACCAAGCCUUCGAUGGAGAGGGGUUCUGAGAGGAAGGACCCCCACAUUGGAACUGAGACACGGUCCAAACUCCUACGUGAGGCAGCAGUGUGGAAUAUUGGUCAAUGGGCGUUAGCCGGAACCAGCCAAGUAGCGUGUAGGAUGAAGGCUUAUGGGUCGUAAACUUCUUUUAUAUAAGAAUAUGUAUUAUAUGAAUAAGGAUCGGCUAACUCCGUGCCAGCAGCCGCGGUAAUAC